CGACCAACUCAAGCUACGAUAUAUCAGUAUUGAUGAACGUUCAAAGGACUGCCAUAGCCUUUUUCAAAAUGGAAAUACGUACAUGAGUUUUGGGUCCUUCGACCUCAGGUAGCAACGAGCUGAGCGGCUUGAUGAAAUUAAUGAAACGAGCUAAAUAAGGACAUUAGAUGGCUUUAUUCUAUGAUACUUCAGAUAACUUACCUCCGCCCAUGGUUAGGUUUGUCGUGAGUUUUAUCUGUCCUGUUCUCGUUUGGUAUGGCGAGGUGGAUAUCUAGUUCAG